rnacentral:rRNA from 1 species
ACCUGCGCGUCUCGCAAGUGGCGGACGGGUGAGUCAUUUCUUUGAAACUGCCUUAUGGAGGGGGAUAACUACUGGAAACGGUAGCUAAUACCGCAUACCAUCGGAUGUGCCCAGAUGGGAUUAGCUAGUAGGUGGGGUAAAGGCUCACCUAGGCGACGAUCCCUAGGUGGUCUGAGAGGAUUACCAGGAACACGGGAACUGAGACAAGGUACAGACUAUUAGGGGAGGCAGCAGUGGGGAAGAUUGAAAAAUGGGCGGAAGCAGGAUGCAGCCAUGCAUCGUGGAUGAAGAAGGCCUUAGGGUUGUAAAGUAAUUUAAGCGGGGAGGCGUGACCAGCAGAAGAAGCACAGGCUAACUCCGUGACAGAAGCCGCGGUAAUUC